rnacentral:rRNA from 1 species
CAGGACGAACGCUGGCGGCGUGCCUAAUACAUGCAAGUCGAACGGUCUUUCUAUGGAAGCUUGCUUCCACUGAGAAGAUAGUGGCGAAACGGGUGAGGUAACACGUGGGUAACCUGCCCAUAAGAGGGGGAUAACAUCCGGAAACGGGUGCUAAUACCGCAUAGUUUUCUUGAUCGCAUGAUUGAGAAAGGAAAGACGGCCUUUGUGCUGUCGCUUAUGGAUGGACCCGCGGCGUAUUAGUUAGUUGGUGAGGUAACGGCUCACCAAGACGAUGAUACGUAGCCGACCUGAGAGGGUGAUCGGCCACAUUGGGACUGAGACACGGCCCAAACUCCUACGGGAGGCAGCAGUAGGGAAUCUUCCGCAAUGGACGAAAGUCUGACGGAGCAACGCCGCGUGAGUGAAGAAAAGGUUUUCGGAUCGUAAAACUCUGUUGUCAGAGAAGAACAAGUUGGAGAGUAACUGCUCCAGCCUUGACGGUAUCUGACCAGAAAGCCACGGCUAACUACGUGCCAGCCGCCGC